rnacentral:tRNA from 1 species
UCCUCUGUGGUGUAAUGGGUAGCACAGCAGACUUUUAAUCUGUCGGGUCAAGGUUCGAGUCCUUGUGGAGGAACCA